GGCAGAACGCUCGCCUUGGCUGCGGGAGUGAGUGUGAGUGUGAGAGCAAGAACAGCCCGCAGGUCCCGAGGCGCUUGCAGGGGACUCUGCCGCGGAAAGUUCCCAGUCCCCAGCCGCAGAAGAUUUUUAUUUUUGGUUGAUUCCUGCUGUCUACUCCUCUUGGAUGCCUUUGUGAAACUGCUUCUAUCUGAGAAGGAGGAGUUGCCAUUCAGCAAGUAGUAGGUGGCACUGUGUGUGGCAGAGUCCGACGCGUUACACCAUGAGGACAUUCAUCUUUGAAGUCCUUCUGCCUAGUUCCCAUUCCUUGUGAACAGAAGAGGACUGGAAAUCUCUCCUCGCAGGACUGCAUACUGUUAUCUCUGAGAAACCAGAAAGAACAAAGUACGUCAUCUUUCCAAGCUUCUACCUAAUAGAAUACUGGAAGGUUUACCUAGAGCAACAAGACAACAAAAUGGAUUGUCCUUCUCGUGCUAGUCCACACACAGUUCUCAUCAUUUUGAUAAGAUAGCGUGAAGUCUCUUAUCACUUUGUGGAUCCAACACUCAGGUUCAGGUUCAUCUGCCCACAAUUCUCUAAGAUUUGGAACUGUUGAGGAGUGGCUCAUAGUAGACCCUGGACCACCAGCCAACUGCAUUUGUUGUCCUGCCAACCUUUCAAGUGACACUGAAGGUCUAAAUACACACCUAGAAUAAAAAUCAGAGUGUUUAAGAAACUAAAUAUGAUCUGCGGGAGGAUACAUGAGGGAUUUUUAAAAAAUUAUUAUUAUUUCAUACUACAGACUGAUGCAGCAUGGAUUUCAACUGAGGACGUUCACCUUUGUCCCUUGGAUCAAUAUGUGAGCUCACAGAUUUCUCUGCUUUUGUCCUGUCAUUAUGGACUCUAAAAUUCUGAAACCACAUAGUCAAUUAAAUGUUUUCUUUUAUA
rnacentral:lncRNA from 1 species